rnacentral:rRNA from 1 species
GACGAACGCUGGCGGCGUGCUUAACACAUGCAAGUCGAACGGAAAGGCCCCCACCUUGGUGGGGGUGCUCGAGUGGCGAACGGGUGAGUAACACGUGGGUGAUCUGCCCUGUACUUCGGGAUAAGCUUGGGAAACUGGGUCUAAUACCGGAUAGGACCAUGGUUUAGUGUCUCAUGGUGGAAAAAUUAUUGUUUUGGUGCAGGAUGAGCUCGCGGCCUAUCAGCUUGUUGGUGGGGUAAUGGCCUACCAAGGCGUCGACGGGUAGCCGGCCUGAGAGGGUGGACGGCCACAUUGGGACUGCGAUACGGCCCAGCCUCCUACGGGAGGCAGCAGUGGGGAAUAUUGCACAAUGGGCGCAAGCCUGAUGCAGCGACGCCGCGUGGGGGAUGACGGCCUUCGGGUUGUAAACUCCUUUCGUUAGGGACGAAGCCACACCUUUUUUGGGUGUGGUGACGGUACCUUUGUUAAGAAGCACCGGCUAACUACGUG